rnacentral:rRNA from 1 species
GACGAACGCUGGCGGCGUGCUUAACACAUGCAAGUCGAACGGUAAGGCCCUUCGGGGUACACGAGUGGCGAACGGGUGAGUAACACGUGGGUGAUCUGCCCUGCACUUCGGGAUAAGCCUGGGAAACUGGGUCUAAUACCGGAUAGGACCACUGCCUGCAUGGGUGGGGGUGGAAAGCUUUUGCGGUGUGGGAUGGGCCCGCGGCCUAUCAGCUUGUUGGUGGGGUGAUGGCCUACCAAGGCGACGACGGGUAGCCGGCCUGAGAGGGUGACGGGGCACACUGGGAAUGAGAUACGGCCCAGACUCCUACGGGAGGCAGCAGUGGGGAAUAUUGCACAAUGGGCGCAAGCCUGAUGCAGCGACGCCGCGUGAGGGAUGACGGCCUUCGGGUUGUAAACCUCUUUCAGCACCGACGAAGCGCAAGUGACGGUAGGUGCAGAAGAAGGACCGGCCAACUACGUGCCAGCCGCCGCCGUAA